AGGGAAUAUCUCAUCCCCAACCCACGAAGCCCACACUUUGAUCUCCUUUCUGUAAAAUCUCUAGGGUUAGGGUUUUGGUUUUGCAUCUAAAAAAAUGGAAGCAAACCAACUACUCAAGGACAAGAAAUUCUGGUUCGCUUCUUUCCUCAUUGCCUGGGCUGCUGCUUUGCAGGGGCAUAUGAUGUGGCUGCAGAGGCAGGACUCCUUCAAGCAGAAGUUUGGGACAUUGGAUCAAAGCGAUAAUGACAAUAAUAAUCCCCAAGAGUGACCCAAAUAAGCUUCAUGGUUCAACAAUUUGGCAAAAGAGUGAAUAUGAAAGAGUACUAGUGAAGAAACUGAUUCAGAGAUCUAUAUGUUUUGUAUGAUUAGGAUGCUCCAAUGGUGUAUAAACUGUUGAAGGCAAGUGCACAGGGUUGAAUUCUGAGAGAGCUGCUACUUCGUCCAAAUGUGUUUAAAAUGGCAAGGCAUAGUCUACAACAUCACAGCCCUGGAACAUGAUUCGGUGGAAGCAUUCAAUGAUGGCCUUAUAGAUGUAAUCUGUUGAUUUUGUAAGAUUUGGGAUACCAAACUUUGCAGUGAAACCAGCUGACCAAAAUCGAAAAUGGAAUUUUGGUUUGAUAGGAAAUAUUUCGUUAAUUUUCAAAGACUUGGUUGCAACUUGUAGUGAUCAGCUGUAGAUUGAGAUAUUAAGUUCUGUGGGUUAUCACUUUGAAUCUCUAUGGAUGUCACAUUAUUCAGCAUAAAAAAGUCUCAGAAAAUUUGGCACUA